rnacentral:lncRNA from 1 species
CGCUUUAGAAGAGGUUGAAUCUGGGCAAAUCAAUUCAUUCCUGCAGGUUUAUCUAUACAUGAUUAAUUUUCUAUUUAGUUCUGUUGUAUAACCGAGUCGAUGCAUGAUGGGCUUUUCUCGACUUUUAUAUUAAGUACAUUGUUGCCAAGCUCAUUAUCACGAAGGUCACUUUCAAUGAUGAGUACUACAACUUCUUGUUAGGGAUAAAUAAAUACCUAUGCGAGUCUACUAUGUUGUGU